rnacentral:lncRNA from 1 species
UAUCUGAUACCAUGAAAGGAGGAAGAUCACAGAGGUGAUUGGAAUCGCACUGUAUUCAAUCAAUGGAGAUAUUACAUAUAUACCAGUACAAGCACACGCAGGUGCAGCCACUAACUCAACUACUGCCGCAACUAACUCCACUAAGCUAGUGCAUGCAAUAAGGACGCAUAUGACCAGGAGAAUUGGUUACAGAGAGAGAGAGUUGAGGGAGAGAGCUACGUGGGUGCAACGGCUUGUGUGGGCG